UGCUGCUGUAGCCCAACUGGAAGAGGCGCUAGUCUUAGAAACUAGAUGUUGUGGGUUCGAUUCCCACCAGCAGUAU
rnacentral:tRNA from 1 species